UUAUCGGAGAGUUUGAUCCUGGCUCAGGACGAACGCUGGCGGCGUGCCUAAUACAUGCAAGUCGAGCGGACAGAUGGGAGCUUGCUCCAUGAUGUUAGCGGCGGACGGGUGAGUAACACGUGGGUAACCUGCCUGUAAGACUGGGAUAACUCCGUGAAUACAGGGC
rnacentral:rRNA from 1 species